UACGUAGGUGGCAAGCGUUGUCCGGAUUUACUGGGUGUAAAGGGCGUGCAGCCGGGCUGACAAGUCAGAUGUGAAAUCCCGCGGCUCAACCGCGGAACUGCAUUUGAAACUGUCAGUCUUGAGUACCGGAGAGGUCAUCGGAAUUCCUUGUGUAGCGGUGAAAUGCGUAGAUAUAAGGAAGAACACCAGUGGCGAAGGCGGAUGACUGGACGGCAACUGACAGUGAGGCGCGAAAGCGUGGGGAGCAAACAGG
rnacentral:rRNA from 1 species